ACCCGCUGAACUUAAGCAUAUCAAUAAGCGGAGGAAAAGAAACUAACAAGGAUUCCCCUAGUAACUGCGAGUGAAGCGGGAACAGCUCAAAUUUGAAAUCUCCAAGGUUCCCUUGGCGAAUUGUAGUUUAGAGAAGCGUUUUCAGUGACGGUCUUGGUUCAAGUCCCUUGGAACAGGGUGUCAUAGAGGGUGAGAACCCCGUUAAACCUUGAUUUGUUGCCAUGUGAUACGCUUUCCAAGAGUCGGGUUGUUUGGGAUUGCAGCCCAAAAUGGGAGGUAAAUUUCUUCUAAAGCUAAAUACUGGCGAGAGACCGAUAGCGAACAAGUACCGUGAGGGAAAGAUGAAAAGAACUUUGAAAAGAGAGUUAAAUAGUACGUGAAAUUGUCAAAAGGGAACGGCUUGAAACCAGUCAUGCCGUCUAGUAUUCAGCAGGUUACUCUAACCUGUGCUCUUACUAGAUGGCAGGUCAACGUCAGUUUCCUUCGCGGUGAAAAGCCAAGGGAAGGUAGCUCCACUUCGGUGGAGUGUUAUAGCCCUUGGUGCUGCCGUGUGGGGAGACUGAGGACUGCAGGGCGCAUUGGGCUACCCGAGUAGACGAAGGCUUUUCAGCAGACUGCAUGCAGGCUGUUGGAAAGCUCUAACCUUUCUUGGUUAUGCCUCUCCGACCCUUAGGACGUUGACGAAAUGGUUUUAAACCACCCGUCUUGAAACACGG
rnacentral:rRNA from 2 species